GAUGAACGCUGGCGGCGUGCCUAAUACAUGCAAGUCGAGCGAACGGACGAGAAGCUUGCUUCUCUGAUGUUAGCGGCGGACGGGUGAGUAACACGUGGAUAACCUACCUAUAAGACUGGGAUAACUUCGGGAAACCGGAGCUAAUACCGGAUGAUAUUUUGAACCGCAUGGUUCAAAAGUGAAAGACGGUCUUGCUGUCACUUAUAGAUGGAUCCGCGCUGCAUUAGCUAGUUGGUAAGGUAACGGCUUACCAAGGCAACGAUGCAUAGCCGACCUGAGAGGGUGAUCGGCCACACUGGAACUGAGACACGGUCCAGACUCCUACGGGAGGCAUCAGUAGGGAAUCUUCCGCAAUGGGCGAAAGCCUGACGGAGCAACGCCGCGUGAGUGAUGAAGGUCUUCGGAUCGUAAAACUCUGUUAUUAGGGAAGAACAUAUGCGUAAGUAACUGUGCACAUCUUGACGGUACCUAAUCAGAAAGCCACGGCUAACUACGUG
rnacentral:rRNA from 1 species